rnacentral:lncRNA from 13 species
UUUACAAAGCAUUUAAAGCGAAAUCAAUGUAAUAAAUAUCGAAGUAUUGUAAUAGAUAAUUCCAUAUAUCUAACUGGAGACACAGCACAGCCCUGGUUGAGGCAGUCAGGAGAUGAGCAGGGUGAGGAUGGGGUGGGGGAGACACCUGGUAUCCACUCUUCUUUUUUUCUCCCCUUUUCUUUUCUCUGCAUUCAUUUAGCCAGGAUUCACCCAGCCCUCCCUAAGACUCUGCACACGGGACUUGGGACUGCGGGGAGUCGUGGGUGUCCAAGAUGCAUCCUCCAGAAGCCAUGGACUGUUAGGAGAAAUUCCUCUGCAACAACCUGCUGGCUGCAGAAGACCAGACCACAGCGGAUGGUGAAGAAGACGAGAAAUGUGGAGGAGAUUAGGUUGAAAAAGUCCCAAGUCUUAAAGCCUGCUCCCAGCCUUAUCACUAACUUGCUGUGUGCCCCUGGACAAACCACCUCUCCUCUCUGAGCUUCAGUUUUCUUAUCUGCAAAAUGGAGGUAAAAACAUCUCUUUCAAGCAUUGUCUCGAAGGGUAAAUAAGACAAGGUACUAGAACAGCAUCAAGCACAGCCCCUGGCACAUGUAGCUGUGCCCUCAAUAACAGUGGAAGCAAAGUCUUUUCCCCAGGAGCUCGUGGAAUCAGAAUCUUUCACCCAGGAGCUGUGCCCACUCCCUAGGGUAGGAGGACCUGCUACACAGCCACACAAGUGGUUCUUCCCACCAGGAGGGCAAAUCCGUCAGAUUCAGCAAGAUUGGCCUCCUCGACCUCGUAUAAGGUUACUGGGGGGUCAUGACCCCAUAGCUGGGGUCCACUUUCUAGAAACAGUCCUCACACAAGAGUCCCAAAGACCCCCACCCUAGCCCUGUGUGGCCCCUGAAGGCCUUUUACUGACAAAGUGGUCAUCUCUGACCUUCCUGAUGGGCCUAUGCUCCUUCCAGCCAGAAAAUGUCUCUGAUCCCAUGACCCCUAGAAGCCCUAACUUGCUAAUGGUUUUAUGAUCUUCCCUACAGAAUUCUUUUUGCCCUCCAUAUCCCCAGUCCCUUUCAGUAGGUCUUAGUCAAAAUAAACAACAUUUAUGACCAGAGCA